rnacentral:rRNA from 1 species
GACGAACGCUGGCGGCGUGCCUAAUACAUGCAAGUCGAGCGGGCCUCCGGAGGUGCUUGCACCUCCGGAAGGCCAGCGGCGGACGGGUGAGUAACACGUGGGCAACCUGCCUUUGAGGCCGGGAUAACACCGGGAAACCGGUGCUAAUACCGGAUACGUCCUCUUUCGCGCCUGCGAGAGGGGAGAAAGACGGUCUUUAAGGCCGUCGCUCAAAGAGGGGCCCGCGGCGCAUUAGCUGGUUGGUGGGGUAAGGGCCUACCAAGGCGACGAUGCGUUGCCGACCUGGGAGGGUGAUCGGCCACAGUGGGACGGAGACACGGCCCAGCCUCCUGCGGGAGGCAGCAGUAGGGAAUCAUCCGCAAUGGGCGAAAGCCUGACGGUGCAACGCCGCGUGAGUGAGGAAGGUUUUCGGAUCGUAAAGCUCUGUUGUGAGGGAAGAACAGCUUCCGGAGGAAAUGCCGGAGGUUUGCCGGUACCUCACCAGAAAGCCCCGGCUAACUACGUGCCAGCCGCCGCGGUAA